UCUUUUAUGUUGCCGACCUGCGUGUGUGUGUAUGUGGUAAAGCUAUGAAAGAGAAAUGUUAUAGUAUGUAUUUUUAUUUGCACUUUAUGGUUUAUUUGGUGGUCUAUUAUUGUUUUUAGCCAAUUUAGAUAUUUUAUGUUGUUACCAAAUCUGUGUUAAUUUAUUUACUGUCCUUUAUCUUUUUAUCAAUUGAUUUUUGUAAGAAUGAGAUAAUUGAAUGAUUGUCAGAAUUAAACAAGCUGUGGCAAGACUAAAACGUCUCCUCCUCGUCUCUCCACAGCUACACCACACCUUUAGGCUACACAGUCUAACCCUAGCUGUGUGCCACUUGCUACCGCCCAGCUUCCCCUAGGGCUGGCGCCGGUAAUAUCAGCAUCAUUGUACCAGUUAAAUGUUCUUCCUCAUCUCAUUCUGACUACAUCAACUGUGUUCUUGGCAGCAGAGCCGGACAUGUUAAUCCAACAUCAGUCCCAUACAAAAGACAAUGAGGCUAUUCAUGCCUUUUUCUGUCACAAAUAGCCUAAUUGCUACGAUAAGAUUUACAGUAAGCUUCAUUGUGUUUGUCACAAUCUGUUUCCUGCCUAUGCGAUUUGCUGAUAUUGUGACAAUCUUGAUUGACAGCUACAGGGAAAAAAACCUGGAGGAAGUCACAGAAUUAUGAACUGACUU